rnacentral:rRNA from 1 species
CGGACGAGGGGGCGGAAAUUUCCCCAUUCCCGUUUUGGGGGGGGUUGGGCCAAAUAAUUCUGGAACCGGGGUUUUUUCGGGUUUUGUAAUCGGAAAGGGUCCAAUUUAAAUCCCUUAACGGCGACCAAUUGGAGGCCAAUUUUGGUCCCACCAGCCGCGGUAAUUCCAGCUCCAAUAGCGUAUAUUAAAGUUGUUGUGGUUAAAAAGCUCGUAGUUGACCCUUGGGCCUGGCUGGCCGGUCCGCCUCACCGCGUGUACUGGUCCGGCCGGGCCUUUCCCUCUGUGGAACCUCAUGCCCUUCACUGGGUGUGCUGGGGAAACAGGACUUUUACUUUGAAAAAAUUAGAGUGCUCCAGGCAGGCCUAUGCUCGAAUACAUUAGCAUGGAAUAAUAAAAUAGGACGUGCGGUUCUAUUUUGUUGGUUUCUAGGACCGCCGUAAUGAUUAAUAGGGACAGUCGGGGGCAUCAGUAUUCAAUUGUCAGAGGUGAAAUUCUUGGAUUUAUUGAAGACUAACUACUGCGAAAGCAUUUGCCAAGGAUGUUUUCAUUAAUCAGGAACGAAAGUUAGGGGAUCGAAAACGAUCAGAUACCGUUGUAGUCUUAACCAUAAACUAUGCCGACUAGGGAUCGGACGAUGUUAUUUUUUGACUCGUUCGGCACCUUACGAGAAAUCAAAGUGCUUGGGCUCCAGGGGGAGUAUGGUCGCAAGGCUGAAACUUAAAGAAAUUGACGGAAGGGCACCACCAGGGGUGGAGCCUGCGGCUUAAUUUGACUCAACACGGGGAAACUCACCAGGUCCAGACACAAUGAGGAUUGACAGAUUGAGAGCUCUUUCUUGAUUUUGUGGGUGGUGGUGCAUGGCCGUUCUUAGUUGGUGGGGUGACUUGUCUGCCUAAUCGCGAUAACGAACGAGACCUUAACCUGCUAAAUAGCCCGUAUUGCUUUGGCAGUACGCUGGCUUCUUAGAGGGACUAUCGGCGCAAGCCGAUGGAAGUUUGAGGCAAUAACAGGUCUGUGAUGCCCUUAGAUGUCCUGGGCUGCACGCGCGUUACACUGACGGAGCCAGCGAGUACUUCCUUGUCCGAAAGGUCCGGGUAAUCUUGUUAAACUCCGUCGUGCUGGGGAUAGAGCAUUGCAAUUAUUGCUCUUCAACGAGGAAUCCCUAGUAAGCGCAAGUCAUCAGCUUGCGUUGAUUACGUCCCUGCCCUUUGUACACACCGCCCGUCGCUACUACCGAUUGAAUGGCUUAGUGAGGCGUUCGGACUGGUCCAGGGAGGUGGGCAACUACCACCCAGGACCGGAAAGUCUCCAAAUCUGUCAUGCCG